rnacentral:lncRNA from 1 species
CUGGAAACAACAGGAAGCUCCCCUCCCCUGGUUGCAGAUUAGUGGAUCCUCCCAUGCUGGAACCAGAUAUUGCUGUGGACGGUUUGGGAACAAAAGCCCUUGGGGGCACCUGAGUGACUCAGUUGGUUAAGUGUCUGACUCUUGAUCUCAGCUCAGGUCUUGAUCGAGCAGAUGAGUUCAAGCCCUGCAUUGGGCUCCAUGCUGGGCGUGGAGCCUACUUUAAAAAAAAAAAAAAAGCCCUUGGGUAUGUGCCUGUUGGUGUAUGUAUGUGUGUGUCCUUUAAGAAAAGAGUGGGAAGAGCAUUUGGGGUGCAAUGGUACCAUGUGGGCAAAAACAGGCCAUGGUAUGGGCCAUGAUCCUGUCCUUCAGCACUGAGAGAGCAUCCUUGGAAAGAAAGAGAUCCUCAGGGAGGUGGAUUGGAGGCUGGUCAGAUGCAGACUUUUUGUCUGUUUCCAGAACAUUUGAAAGCUCUUGUUGUGACACCGUCCAAUCAACUUCUUGUUUUUGGAGCUUCAGCUUGAGAAGAUAAAUUAAUAAUAAGAGGACGGUUUCUCAGUGCUCUGUGGAAAUCAGCUUUAUCAGGGCUCUAGAGACGGAGUGUGUCCGUGUAAGACACAAGCAGCUGCUUCUCUGUCGCACUCAGCUGGCUCUUGGUGGCGGGGCAGCCAGCAAUCCGGGAUGCUCUGGGCCCUGCCUCUGGCGACAUUGCCAGCUCAGCAUGAACGUGACUGACCGGAAAAUGUCCCAACCUCGUUUCUGCUCGAAGCUGAAGAAUGAAGGAAAGUCAACGCUGCUUUGCGUGAUAUUCACUGAGGGAAACGUGACGGCGCGUUCCAGCGGCCCGACUUUGCUUCUCGCACCCUGGCAUGUCCUGGUCCCAGCACUGCCCAGUUAUCUUCCCAUUGUCCAGCACCAGCACGAAUGCCGCCUCCCCCGGGCCCACGCCAGCCUUGCCUUUUCACCCAAGCUGGAAAUGACCUGUCCUGCCUCUCUGAUCCAAGAGCCAUUUGUUUGUACCUCAUGUUAACACUGACCCCACACCUGUUACAGCUGUUGGAGUCACCGGCUAUCUUCCCUGGGGUGGGAGGGGGAGCUGGGAUCGCACUCUGAGCCAGGGCUAUGUCCAAUUCCUCCUUAACUUCUCCCGGAAUUAGCUUGAUCAAGUCCUUCUGUUGGUGGCCCCUGGCCAUCCUGAGUCCAGGCGUGGCUCUUAUGGUUUAUUUAUGUAAUAUUUUUUGGUCUCCUAUAUUACUCCAUGCCCAUGCCCU